rnacentral:rRNA from 1 species
UACGGGGGGGGUAAGCGUUGUUCGGAAUUACUGGGCGUAAAGGGCGCGUAGGCGGCCCGCUAAGUCGAACGUGAAAUCCCCGAGCUCAACUCGGGAACUGCGUCCGAUACUGGCGGGCUUGAAUCCGGGAGAGGGAUGCGGAAUUCCAGGUGUAGCGGUGAAAUGCGUAGAUAUCUGGAGGAACACCGGUGGCGAAGGCGGCAUCCUGGACCGGCAUUGACGCUGAGGCGCGAAAGCUAGGGGAGCAAACGGG